AGUGAACGCUGGCGGUAGGCCUAACACAUGCAAGUCGAACGGCAGCACAGUAAGAGCUUGCUCUUACGGGUGGCGAGUGGCGGACGGGUGAGGAAUACAUCGGAAUCUACUUUUUCGUGGGGGAUAACGUAGGGAAACUUACGCUAAUACCGCAUACGACCUACGGGUGACAGCAGGGGAUCUUCGGACCUUGCGCGAUUGAAUGAGCCGAUGUCGGAUUAGCUAGUUGGCGGGGUAAAGGCCCACCAAGGCGACGAUCCGUAGCUGGUCUGAGAGGAUGAGCAGCCACACUGGAACUGAGACACGGUACAGACUCCUACGGGAGGCAGCAGUGGGGAAUAUUGGACAAUGGGCGCAAGCCUGAUCCAGCCAUACCGCGUGGGUGAAGAAGGUCUUCGGGUUGUAAAGCCCUUUUGUUGGGAAAGAAAAGCAGCAGGUUAAUACCCCGCUGUUCUGACGGUACCCAAAGAAUAAGCACCGGCUAACUUCGUG
rnacentral:rRNA from 1 species